rnacentral:rRNA from 1 species
AUGGCGGAACCACCGGCGACAGGGGGAGGAAGUGGGGGUGCGAAGGAAGACAAGGAGAGGAUGGCGGCGCAGUCUGGCCCUGUGGUCGAAGAGGAGAACCACCUGGGAGACGGUGGUAAGAAGGGGGCCGCGGGGAGUGGAGGUGGAAGCCAGGGGCGGGAGGGAGCAGAGGGGGAGUACCAUGCUUGGGGACCUCCCGCAAGUCUUGAGGAUAGAUUUGAAGGUCUGCACCUGCGUGGAGAGGAGGAAGUUGAACUCGAUUUCAAUGCUGAAUUUGAAGAUCUAGUUAAGGACAUUAGGUGGCUGGCGAUAUUCAGAGUUCAUACAACUCGUCAGUUCAGCCAUUCAGCUCUGUACAACGCGAUGCGCACGGCAUGGUCGUCGGCCCAACAAGCUAUCUUCAAACCAAAGGGUCUCAACCUGUUCAUUGCACAAUUCAGUUAUUUGGGGGAUUGGAAGAGGGUGAUGGACGGUGGCCCCUGGUUGUUUAGGAACGCGGCUGUUGUGAUCCAGGAAUAUGACGGGUUUAGCAAUGUUAAUGACUACAAGCUGGAUAAGAUCCCAGUUUGGGCAAGAAUUGAAGGGGUGCCGGAGGGUUUGAUGCGGAAGAAAGAGCUAGCAGAGAAGGUAGCCCGCAAGGUGGGAGAACCGCCAAUAACGGUGGUAGUGAAUGAAGGCUUCAUCAACACCUCUAAAUUUCUUAGGGCCAGAGUGUUUCUUGAUGUUCAUGUGCCUCUGGUCAGGUUUGUGCCCAUAACCUUGAAGGAGAGGAAAAAGUACCCAGUUUACUAUGAAAAGCUUCCCGACUUUUGCUACUUUUGUGGCCUGAUGGGGCACCAAGUGGAGGAGUGCGGGGAUGGCGUUCACGAUCCUACUGCUUGUGAAUGGGGAGACUGGCUUCUGUGGAACUUUGAAAAUACUUUGCCAAAACAGAAUGGGGGGAGAGGAGGAGGCAGAGGUGGGGGAGAUAGGGGAGGAAGUGUGUCAGGAGGGAGAGGAGGUUGGGGUCGAGGGAGCAUGGCUCGUGGCAGCACCAAAAGUGAUACAAAUGAGGCCACUGAAAUGGAGUAUAGUACUCAAGAUGUUAGAUAUGGUACUGACCCGGGACAGCGUGGAGCAAGGAAAAGGCUGGUUGGCCCGGAUGGCAUGGUCAAUGCAAACGGGGCUGAUGCAGUUCCUAUUAUGCCAGGCACUGUUGCUGGAAAAAUUCUUUAG